rnacentral:rRNA from 1 species
AGUGAAUAGAUACCCGGGUAGUCCUAGCCGUAAACGAUACUCGCUAGGUGUCGGCCACGGUGCGACCGUUGUCGGUGCCGUAGGGAAAGCCGUGAAGCGAGCCACCUGGGAAGUACGGCCGCAAGGCUGAAACUUAAAGGAAUUGGCGGGGGAGCACCACAACGGGUGGAGCUUGCGGUUUAAUUGGAUUCAACGCCGGAAAUCUUACCGGGACCGACAGCAACAUGAAGGCCAGGCUGAAGACUUUGCCGGAUUAGCUGAGAGGUGGUGCAUGGCCGUCGUCAGUUCGUACUGUGAAAGCAUCCUGUUAAGUCAGGCAACGAGCGAGACCCACGCCCACAGUUGCCAGCGUACUCUCCGGAGUGACGGGUACACUGUGGGGACCGCCGCUGCUAAAGCGGAGGAAGGAAUGGGCAACGGUAGGUCAGUAUGCCCCGAAUAUCCCGGACUACACGCGAGCUACAAUGGUUGGUACAAUGGGUAUCUACCCCGAAAGGGGAUGGAAAUCUCCUAAAGCCAAUCUUAGUUCGGAUUGAGGGCUGCAACUCGCCCUC